rnacentral:rRNA from 1 species
UUGACCUCAAAUCAGGUAGGACUACCCGCUGAACUUAAGCAUAUCAAUAAGCGGAGGAAAAGAAACCAACAGGGAUUGCCUCAGUAGCGGCGAGUGAAGCGGCAAAAGCUCAAAUUUGAAAUCUGGCGUCUUUGGCGUCCGAGUUGUAAUUUGAAGAAGGUAUCUUUGGGCCCGGCUCUUGUCUAUGUUCCUUGGAACAGGACGUCACAGAGGGUGAGAAUCCCGUGCGAUGAGAUGGCCCGGGUCUAUGUAAAGUUCCUUCGACGAGUC